rnacentral:rRNA from 1 species
GACGAACGCUGGCGGCGUGCCUAACACAUGCAAGUCGAACGGGACCAGGGGCAACUCUGGUUCAGUGGCGGACGGGUGCGUAACACGUGAGGAACAUGACCCUUCGGCGGGGGAGUAGCCGGCCCAACGGCCGGGUAAUACCGCGUACGACCUUCCGGGGACAUCCCUGGAUAGUGAAAGCAGCAAUGCGCCGAUGGAGUGCCUCGCGGCCUAUCAGCUAGUUGGUGAGGUAACGGCUCACCAAGGCAACGACGGGUAGCUGGUCUGAGAGGAUGGCCAGCCACAUUGGGACUGAGACACGGCCCAGACUCCUACGGGAGGGCAGCAGUGGGGAAUAUUGCGCAAUGGACGAAAGUACUGACGCAGCGACGCCGCGUGUGGGAGUGACGGUCUUCGGAUUGUAAACCAACUGUCGGGAGGGACGAAUACGCCGCAAGGCGGGUG